CAGAACGAACGCUGGCGGCAUGCCUAAUACAUGCAAGUCGAACGAACUCUUCGGAGUUAGUGGCGCACGGGUGCGUAACGCGUGGGAAUCUGCCCCUUGGUUCGGAAUAACAGUUGGAAACGACUGCUAAUACCGGAUGAUGACGAAAGUCCAAAGAUUUAUCGCCAAGGGAUGAGCCCGCGUAGGAUUAGCUAGUUGGUGAGGUAAAGGCUCACCAAGGCAACGAUCCUUAGCUGGUCUGAGAGGAUGAUCAGCCACACUGGGACUGAGACACGGCCCAGACUCCUACGGGAGGCAGCAGUAGGGAAUAUUGGACAAUGGGCGAAAGCCUGAUCCAGCAAUGCCGCGUGAGU
rnacentral:rRNA from 1 species